rnacentral:rRNA from 1 species
AUGAGUUAAGUAUAAACCCCUUUACAAGUAUCAAUUGGAGGGCAAGUCUGGUGCCAGCAGCCGCGGUAAUUCCAGCUCCAAUAGCGUAUAUUAAAGUUGUUGCAGUUAAAAAGCUCGUAGUUGGAUUUCUGUUAAUAAUUUAUAUAUAAUAUUUUAAUAUAUUUAUAUAAUAUUAACAUAAUUCAUAUUACUAUAAUUUUUUAGUAUAUGAAAUUUUACUUUGAGAAAAUUAGAGUGCUUAAAGCAGGCAUAUGCCUUGAAUACUCCAGCAUGGAAUAAUAUAAAAGAUUUUUAUCUUUUUUAUUGGUUCUAGGAUAAAAAUAAUGAUUAAUAGGGACAGUUGGGGGCAUUUGUAUUUAACAGUCAGAGGUGAAAUUCUUAGAUUUGUUAAAGACAAACUAAUGCGAAAGCAUUUGCCAAGGAUGUUUUCAUUAAUCAAGAACGAAAGUUAGGGGAUCGAAGACGAUCAGAUACCGUCGUAGU